UACGUAGGGAGCAAGCGUUGUCCGGAAUCAUUGGGCGUAAAGCGCGCGUAGGCGGCCUCAUAAGUCCGUUGUGAAAGUCAAAGGCUCAACCUUUGAAAGCCGAUGGAUACUGUGAGGCUAGAGUCCGGAAGAGGCGAGUGGAAUUCCUGGUGUAGCGGUGGAAUGCGCAGAUAUCAGGAGGAACACCAGUAGCGAAGGCAGCUCGCUGGGACGGUACUGACGCUAAGGCGCGAAAGCGUGGGGAGCGAACAGG
rnacentral:rRNA from 1 species